AGCAGAUUCCGUUUUCGCUCUUCUGUUUGCUUCCAGCGGCACGUACGCUCUCACGAAUUUGUCUGGCGAUUAAUUAUUUUCUUCCAGCGGUAUAAACUAACCGUGACAAAAAGGAUUUUCAACGUUCGGGCGAUUGAACAACGUUUAUUUCUUAACGUUCCGAAGAAAUGUGAGAAAAUACUAAAAAAAAUAACAGUCAUUGUAACGAUUGGUCUAAGCUGUUUGAUCAUGAUUUCGAACAAAAACAAAUAAAGUACUAGUAAAGAAUGUGGAACUUUCAACACACACGCAAUCC